GACGAACGCUGGCGGCGUGCUUAACACAUGCAAGUCGAACGGAAAGGCCCUGCUUUUGUGGGGUGCUCGAGUGGCGAACGGGUGAGUAACACGUGAGUAACCUGCCCUUGACUUUGGGAUAACUUCAGGAAACUGGGGCUAAUACCGGAUAGGAGCUCCUGCUGCAUGGUGGGGGUUGGAAAGUUUCGGCGGUUGGGGAUGGACUCGCGGCUUAUCAGCUUGUUGGUGGGGUAGUGGCUUACCAAGGGUUUGACGGGUAGCCGGCCUGAGAGGGUGACCGGCCACAUUGGGACUGAGGUACGGCCCAGACUGCUACGGGAGGCAGCAGUGGGGAAUAUUGCACAAUGGGCGGAAGCCUGAUGCAGCAACGCCGCGUGCGGGAUGACGGCCUUCGGGUUGUAAACCGCUUUCGCCUGUGACGAAGCGUGAGUGACGGUAAUGGGUAAAGAAGCACCGGCUAACUACGUG
rnacentral:rRNA from 1 species